UACUGCAGUCCUUUGUGCUUGAAGGAUAUGAUCAUCUCAGAAUAUUUACUCAUUUGCAAUUUGAUUUUUUUUUUCAUAUUUUUAAACGGUGGUGGAAUUGCAUUUGGGAAGUUUCUAAUACAGUAUAGUUUUAAGAUUUUCAUUCCUAGGGAUUGAUUUUUACUGGGCUUUUUAUUAUUCACCUGAAUUAAACUCUAUUGGCAUAUGAGUGUGUGCAUUAUUCGAAUAUAUAUGAUUGUUCUGUACUAUUAUUGGCAUAUGAUUCUGGUUUUUUGUGCAUGGAGAUACAUUCUUUUGAAGAAAAUUAGGUUACUAAUGUAGGAGAUCACACAGGAAAUAUCUGUAUUUUCUUGAAAUAAUUAUUAGUUCUCAAGUCAAGAAAUUUUCCUUGUGGUUAUUUAAUUUAUUUGGUAAGUUUAGUAUAUAGAUGUUAAUUUGUUUGAUGUUGAAACCAAGUGAAAUUUCUUUCCCAAAUUUCGCAAUCCUAUUCUCUUUUCUUUCUUUUCCUGCUGAAGCUUGAGCAUUUGUUGCCUGAGAGUUGGACAAAUAUCUGAAAUCGAUGUUUGCCUUUUUUAAUUUGAACACAAUUAAAGUCAUAUAUAUGAUCUAACAUUUUUGAAAACUUUUUAUCUAAGAUUUCACUUGGUAGAACAAUGCCAGUGUUUGAAAAUCGGUUGCUGAUGUUAAGAGAUUGACCGUCAAAUUUAGGACCUAUAGCUAGCACAAAAUCUUCAUCAAGGGCAAUCUUUCGACUUACUUCAUGUGUCCGGAAGACAACGGAGAAUGCAUUCAGCUCCAUCCACCGCAAGAGUAUUUCUUCGCUCCUUUGAUACUUAAAAAAUGCCACUGCUGCAGAAACAAAGGAUCGUCCUGGGACGGUCGACCACAUGGAUCUUGAAGGCUGAGACUUAUGGAAAAUACAGAGAGACCCGCCAUUUUUGGAUGACCAAUUCGACUGAAAAUCCUUUCCAAUGUCAUAGAUCUGUUCUGAAGGGACUGACUGAAAA